AUUGAACGCUGGCGGCAGGCUUAACACAUGCAAGUCGAGCGGAGAUGAGGUGCUUGCACCUUAUCUUAGCGGCGGACGGGUGAGUAAUGCUUAGGAAUCUGCCUAUUAGUGGGGGACAACAUUCCGAAAGGAAUGCUAAUACCGCAUACGUCCUACGGGAGAAAGCAGGGGAUCUUCGGACCUUGCGCUAAAUGAUGAGCCUAAGUCGGAUUAGCUAGUUGGUGGGGUAAAGGCCUACCAAGGCGACGAUCUGUAGCGGGUCUGAGAGGAUGAUCCGCCACACUGGGACUGAGACACGGCCCAGACUCCUACGGGAGGCAGCAGUGGGGAAUAUUGGACAAUGGGCGGAAGCCUGAUCCAGCCAUGCCGCGUGUGUGAAGAAGGCCUUAUGGUUGUAAAGCACUUUAAGCGAGGAGGAGGCUACUUAGAUUAAUACUCUAGGAUAGUGGACGUUACUCGCAGAAUAAGCACCGGCUAACUCUGUGCCAGCCGCCGCCGUAAAAC
rnacentral:rRNA from 1 species